rnacentral:rRNA from 1 species
CUUGGAGGAUGUAUAGCAAUAGCUAGUUGCACUAAAAGUUUUAGUGUGAGAUCGACUUGUUGAAUAAAAUUCUGGGUGGAAUUUUGAUAAUGACAAUAUCUGUCCAUAAGUCUUGACCAAAUUACGUGCCAGCAGUCGCGGUAAUACGUAGUAGACAAGUGUUAUUCAUCUUUAAUAGGUUUAAAGAGUACCUAGACGGGAAAUAAAGCCUCCAAAAAGGUACUAGUUUUCUAGAGUUUUAUGUGGAGGAGUAUUAAAGUACUACUGGUGGAGAGAUAAAAUUCAGUUAUACCUUAAUGGCACUGGUUAAGGCGAAGGCAUCUUCUUAUGUAAAAACUGACGUUGAAGGACGAAGGCUUUGUGUAUCGAACAGGAUUAGUUACCCUAGUAGUCUAAGCAGAAAAUUAUGAAUGUCAUAGAUUAGAUCUAAUUUUAUCUAUAAAUGAAAGUGUAAGCAUUCCACCUCAAGAGUAAUUUGGCAACAUUGGAACUGAAAUCAUUAGACCGUUUCUGAAACCAGUAGUGAAGUAUGUUAUUUAAUUUGAUAAUCCGCAAAAACCUUACCACUAUUUGAAUAGAUAUAUUAUAUCAUACAAGCGUUGCACGGCUGUCUUCAGUUAAUGUCGUGAGAUUUUGGUUAGUUCCAUUAAAUUAACGUAAACCCUUACUCUAUUUUAAAAUAAAGUAGUUCACCGCUAUAUUGGUUUAAGAUAAAGGGAUCAAGACAAGUCAACAUGACC